AUGCACGGGAAACCACUGGCCGGAGUGCUCGCCGCCGCCCUUCUGCUCUUGGCAUCCGCCUCUCCGGCCGUCGGAGCGUACAGCGGCAAGGGCGGCGUCAGCGACGCCGCGGCGGGGGCGAGAGCUAGCGCUCAUGUUCCCACGGCGUCGACAUUGACGAGGCGGCUGGAGGAUGAGGUGGAGCCGGAGCUGAGUUGGGCGGACAACCUCCUUGGGGGAAACGGCGUCAGCUACGACACCUUGGACCGGAACGGGCCAGCGUGCCCGCGGCAUGACUCAUGCGCGGGCAAAAAACCAGGAGAAGCAUACACCCGCCCGUGCAACUACAGGGAAAAAUGUGCGCCGCACUAA
rnacentral:rRNA from 1 species